rnacentral:tRNA from 1 species
CGGGAUGUAGCGUAGCCCGGUAUCGCGCCAGCAUGGGACGCUGGAGGUCGUAGAUUCGAAUCCUGCCAUCCCGACGA